rnacentral:rRNA from 1 species
GGGCCCGCACAAGCGGUGGAGCAUGUGGUUCAAUUCGAAGCAACGCGCAGAACCUUACCAGCCCUUGACAUGUCCCGUAUGGGCACCGGAGACGGUGUUCUUCAGUUCGGCUGGCGGGAACACAGGUGCUGCAUGGCUGUCGUCAGCUCGUGUCGUGAGAUGUUGGGUUAAGUCCCGCAACGAGCGCAACCCUCACCUUCAGUUGCCAUCGGGUUAAGCCGGGCACUCUGAAGGAACCGCCGGUGACAAGCCGGAGGAAGGCGGGGAUGACGUCAAGUCCUCAUGGCCCUUAUGGGCUGGGCUACACACGUGCUACAAUGGCGGUGACAAUGGGAAGCGAUGGGGCGACCCGGAGCCAAUCUCAAAAAGCCGUCUCAGUUCAGAUUGCACUCUGCAACUCGAGUGCAUGAAGGUGGAAUCGCUAGUAAUCGUGGAUCAGCACGCCACGGUGAAUACGUUCCCGGGCCUU